UACGAAGGGGGCUAGCGUUGCUCGGAAUGACUGGGCGUAAAGGGCGCGUAGGCGGCUUGCACCGUCAGAUGUGAAAUUCCUAGGCUUAACCUGGGGGCUGCAUUUGAUACGUGUGGGCUUGAGUGCGGAAGAGGGUCGUGGAAUUCCCAGUGUAGAGGUGAAAUUCGUAGAUAUCGGGAGGAACACCAGUGGCGAAGGCGACUUCCUGGCCUGUUCUUGACGCUGAGGCGCGAAAGCUAGGGGAGCAAACGGG
rnacentral:rRNA from 1 species